rnacentral:rRNA from 1 species
GAUGAACGCUGGCGGCGUGCCUAAUACAUGCAAGUCGAGCGAACAGACGAGGAGCUUGCUCCUCUGACGUUAGCGGCGGACGGGUGAGUAACACGUGGAUAACCUACCUAUAAGACUGGGAUAACUUCGGGAAACCGGAGCUAAUACCGGAUAAUAUAUUGAACCGCAUGGUUCAAUAGUGAAAGACGGUUUUGCUGUCACUUAUAGAUGGAUCCGCGCCGCAUUAGCUAGUUGGUAAGGUAACGGCUUACCAAGGCAACGAUGCGUAGCCGACCUGAGAGGGUGAUCGGCCACACUGGAAGUGAGACACGGUCCAGACUCCUACGGGAGGCAGCAGUAGGGAAUCUUCCGCAAUGGGCGAGAGCCUGACGGAGCAACGCCGCGUGAGUGAUGAAGGUGUUCGGAUCGUAAAACUCUGUUAUUAGGGAAGAACAAAUGUGUAAGUAACUAUGCACGUCUUGACGGUACCUAAUCAGAAAGCCACGGCUAACUACGUG